GGUGUCGGGGCCGGAUUUCCGGGACAUAAAUCCCAGUAAACAACCAUUGUGUCAUCACCAGCCCCAGGAUUACUGUUGCUGGUGGACAUUUCCUUGAUAUAGAAUUCCAAGCAAUUACAAGAGAUUGGAUACAAGACCACAAAGGUCCAAUGAAUAUAACAAGGAUCUCUAGUGGUGGAUGACGGAAGCGACUCGUGGAUCUCCAAUGUUGAUGGGACUCCAUUCCCACGGGAACAGCUGACCUGGAUAACUCCUAUCUCACGUGGCUGUUAUCUCCGAAUCCUAGGUUGCGGGGGAGUCUCCGUAAUGCUCCUCUCUGAGUCAUGAUCUGGCCAAGACAAUAGCCAGGGACAAGCCAGUGAGUACGUUUGAAUGUACUCGCAAACAUCAAGAACAAAAGAUAUACCGGAUACAUAUGCUCAUGAUGAAUUAAAUUGCAUGCAUGUGCUGACUGAGUAUUAAAGCAUGGCAUGACAAAUAUUCAUACAGAAAAUAAGUCAUGUUAUUAGUAAAUCAAAGAAAUGAAAUGGAACGUUGGGCGUUGGACCGCCCAAGAAAUUCUAAGAGAAAUGCCAAACAGGUGUCUAAAAGAGAAUCGGGCAAGACAAGACCGCCCGAGAACUCAAGCGGCGCCACGAGAGGUCUUGAAAAGAAAUGCCAAACGGGUGUCUAAAAGCGACACCUCGUAAGGUCUUGAAAAUGAAUGCCACAGUCUGGUGUCUGAGCGACGCCUCAUAAAGGGCUUAUAAGAAAAUAAUAACAUGAUUAUCCAGGUGGACUAGCCAUCCCAAGUGAUACUCAGAGAUGAAAAAAAUAAACUUGAGUAUCCCGGGUAGUCUAGCCAUCCCAAGAGAUACUCAAGGUUAAACAUAAGAGGAAAAGGUUAGUCCACAACAAUAUUCAUAUCAUCAAUAAUAUUCAAAAUGGCACCAUUAGUGACAAUAAUUACCCUGCAGAACGAUCCAUGAUCAAUUUAGUUAUUUCCUCCGGAGACUGACACUAAGACCGACACUUGACCAACCCAGACUGUAGUCCUUAACCAUGGACACGGCUAUUCGAAUAGAUAUAACUCUGCAGAGGGUGUACUCUUUACCCACGUGUAUAGGAUUUCUUUAGCCAGCACCGAGACGCUGACUAAUUCCCGUUACGGCCUUUGGAUUGAAAACAAACCUGACCAGCACACACCAGAUUAACUUUCCGGAUGCCAGGAAUCACCCAAAGCAUCGUUCAAGAGAAACUCUAAGGCGGGGAGACCAUCGUCUUGAGUAGCAUGGGAUCACUAUUAACAUGCGCGGAUUACAAGGGGUGCCCCCCUCUCGGCCCAGCCGGAUACACCCAUGCCCCCUGGCCCGAUGACUGGCAUUGCAGCCGAUACCUGGAAACCCUCAUCGUGACCUCUCUGUACGGUGUGUGCAGGGAAAGGGGUUAACAACUUACUGAACCGUACCCAGCCUGUGGCCGGGACAAGUGGUAGCACGAAACCAGUAUGGGGGUUACCGGAACAAGACCCGAUCUAUGGUCAACUCAGGAGGUUUAAGUUUGCCUACAGUGGUUCGCAUAAUAUAAAUCCUUGGCAGUACCCAACAGGAUAACCACCUGGUAUGUCCCAACAUACCCUCAAUGAUCACUCUCGUCACAACGAGAUUUCAGUCUCACAGUCACUUUUCUCGUGACUGAUUCUUCCUGCAAAUUAUCCUGGACCAACACAGGCACAUAUGGAACGUGAAAGUAACUGUACUCACUUAUACUUCAUGUUUAAGUGAACAGAAAAUACCAUCAAGGGGAUCAUGCAUGUAUGACCAACAAUAUGCAAACUCUAUAGGAAUUCAACAUGUUCAUAAUUCAAAUACACAUGCCAUAAAUAAUUAUGCAGUCACCAUAUCAUGUGUUCAAAAUGCUUGCCUUGAGCAUGCAGAAAUGUUGUGUGCACUCCAAAACUUUGAAAAUUAUAUCUCCCCUCCAUUUCCUAUUUUCAAAAUAUUUUAAUGACCACACAUUUCCAAAACAGUACAUAAAAGUUGUUUGGAAAUUUGUGAAAUAAAUACUAAAAUAAACUAGAUGAAAUUUGAGAGAUAACAGAAAAAGAGUCAAGUCAUUUAAAGUUUAUAUAAUUUUCCUAUGGAUUUACUAAGCUGAAAUAAUCAAGGAAAUAGAUUGUUUAUUAGAUCCAGCAAAAACCAGGCUUAGGAAAAAUGUUCACCCUAUCUGGAUAUAUAGAGCAUGAUUGUAGGAGUGGGCACAAAUUUGAAUCAUCAAAUUUUGAUGUGAAAUGGAUGCUGUGGAAUUAUUUGAAAUCUGGUGGACAAGAAAUAGGGAAACCGAUAUUACUGUGAUUGGCUGAGUAGAGACGCGCCCUGGCCGCGGUAUAGCCGCCUGGCGCUACUGGGCCAAGCCCAGUUGUUUGGCUGCGUGGGAGGGCUGCGACGCCGAAAGCGUAGUCCAAGAAAUACACUUUCCACGCAGGAAGGCAACUUCAACGGAACUCGUCUCCACUUAAGACGAGUUGGCACGGCGCUGAGUCACUGACGGUGGGCCCGCCCGGCCCACCGGUCAGGUUUGACCAGUCCACGCGCGCGCCGUCUCCUCCGACCGAACAGAGGCGGAGCUCCGGCGAUCGGUGCCGGUGAACGGUGGCACCGUUCGGAAAACCGAGGCCACCUUCGAGCUCAGGAGGUCGAGGCGAACCCGUGGGUACCCUCCUUGGUCGUCGGAGUGGACGGAGUCACCGGCGGCGAGCUCUUCGGUGGACGGUGGCGUCGGGUGGGAUUGAGCUUUCGCCUACGGCGGCUCCUGAGCAGAAUCGAGAGGUGGGUUGGAUUCGUGGGUGCUCCAGGGUGCUGUUGGUGAAGAGAGUGGAGAGGGGGAGGCCCUAAUGGCGUCGACAUGAACGAGAAAGAGGCGGCGGCCGUGGUUGCCGGAGUUGGGGAAGAUGACCCGCUCCGAUCGUUCUACCGCUAUGGGUGGGUUAGUGAGGGAGGGAGAGAGUUGGUGAUGUACUGCGAGGUCUCAGGGUAAGCUUUUAUAGUGCGAGG
rnacentral:lncRNA from 1 species